rnacentral:miRNA from 1 species
CCAGUGCUGGAGAUGUCAUCA